rnacentral:rRNA from 1 species
AACGAACGCUGGCGGCGUGCCUAACACAUGCAAGUCGAACGGGGAUGGGGAGCUUGCUUCCUAUUCUAGUGGCGCACGGGUGAGUAACGCGUAGAUAAUCUGCCUGACGAUCUGGGAUAACACUUCGAAAGGGGUGCUAAUACCGGAUAAGCCCACGGGGACUUUGGUCUUUGCGGGAAAAGGGGGGGACCUUUUGGCCUUCUGUCGUCAGAUGAGUCUCCGUACCAUUCGCUAGUUGGUAGGGUAAGGGCCUACCAAGGCGACGAUGGUUAGCUGGUCUGAGAGGAUGAUCAGCCACACUUGAACUGAGACACGGUCCAGACUCCUACGGGAGGCAGCAGUGGGGAAUUUUGCGCAAUGGGCGAAAGCCUGACGCAGCAACGCCGCGUGAGUGAUGAAGGCUUUCGGGUCGUAAAGCUCUGUCGAGGGGAAAGAAGUGUAUUGUGGUUAAUACCCAUGAUACUUGACGGUACCCCUAAAGGAAGCACCGGCUAACUCCGUGCCAGCAGCCGCAGUAACAC